CCAAAGAAAGUGUUCCCAGAUCAUGGUAAAAUCAGGAAACUUCCACCAGGUGCAGUGAAAGUCAAUUUUCAAAAGAAGUUAGUUGAAAAGCUGAAGAUGAUAACUGUCAAGUACAAACAUGUAAAAGAAAAGGCACUGAAAAUGAAGGAAAAGCUUAAGGAGAACCUACAAGAGAAAAAAGAAAUUUGGUCUUUACCAACAAAAAC